rnacentral:rRNA from 1 species
UGAAAAUUAAAUGUAAAACAUUAAAUUUAAAUAAUUUGGCGGUAUUUUAAGUAAUUAGAGGAAUUUGUUAGAUAAAUGAUAAUCCACGAUAGGAGAGUCCUAAAAAGUAUUUUUAUGUAUUGUUAUUUAAAAAUUAUUUUAAAAGAAUAAAUGAUUAGGAAAUUUAAUUAAAUUUAAAUUUAAAUCAAAAUAUAGAAUUUUUAGGAUUAGAUGAAUUACAGUUUAUUUAAAAUUAUAUAAAAAUUG